rnacentral:rRNA from 1 species
AGCAGCCGCGGUAAUUCCAGCUCCAAUAGCGUAUAUUAAAGUUGUUGCAGUUAAAAAGCUCGUAGUUGAAUUUCGGGAUCAAUACGUCGGUCGUGCUUCGGUACGUACUGGCGUCAUUGGUUUCUCCCUUCUGACGAACCAUGAUGUCAUUAACUUGGUGUCAUGGGAAAUCAGGACUGUUACUUUGAAAAAAUUAGAGUGUUUAAAGCAGGCUCACGCUUGAAUACAUUAGCAUGGAAUAAUGAAAUAGGACGUUCGAUCCUAUUUUGUUGGUUUCUAGGAUUGACGUAAUGAUUAAUAGGGAUAGUUGGGGGCAUUAGUAUUCAAUUGUCAGAGGUGAAACUCUUGGAUUUAUUGAAGACUAACUACUGCGAAAGCAUUUGCCAAGGAUGUUUUCAUUAAUCAAGAACGAAAGUUAGGGGAUCGAAGACGAUCAGAUACCGUCGUAGUCUUAACCAUAAACUAUGCCGACUAGGGAUCGGAUGAUGUUAAUUUUUAAUGACUCAUUCGGCGUCCG